UGAAGAUGAACUUGGGGUGAGGGU
rnacentral:piRNA from 1 species